rnacentral:rRNA from 1 species
AUGCGCAGUGGGAGGCGGCGUGGCCAUGGAGGGCGCGACCGGUGGUGCUCGCCGAGGAAGACGGGGCCCCAGACGACGCCGGAGCAGGUAGUGCUUGCCGGGGAAGACGAGGCCCCAGACUGCGCCAGAGCAAGCGCCAGGGAUUUCGGCGUGGGGCGUGCCAGGAGCCUGACGGACGACGACCUGGAGGAGCUCAAGGGGUGCGUGGAUCUGGGUUCAAUUUGCAGUAGCAGCAGAGCAGCAGACCCGGUAGAUCGGCGGCCUUCCAAUCUUCAAGACCAGAGGAGGCUUCGAAAUCACGCCGGAGCCAGGGUGCCUGCGGUUGGGGAUUUUUGGGGGACAAGCGGCGAGGGCUGGUCAUAUAUUAUGGAGGCGACUGGGGAAGGCGCCGAAUACGAUACGUCUGAUUCCUUCCAAAACUGCUUGCGCAGGCCCAAUAGGCAGCGACGACCCGGGCCCGUGAACGAACGAAAGUUUUAA